rnacentral:miRNA from 1 species
GUGGAGCGCGGGUGGGAUUGGCACUGGGAGCCCAAAGGAGAGGGCUGAGUGGGGUUCUGACUCCUCUGCCCAAC